AUGCAAAUGUUUUUCAUGCUCAAAAAUCAUAGUAAACAGAAAAAGAUAAGAGAGCCAACUCAUUUCUGAUGUGCUAAGCAAAUCUUUGGAGGUAAAUCAGCCUGACUUAUUUAGUCAUUGCUGUCACUCAUCUCAAAAAAGUA
rnacentral:snoRNA from 1 species